AAGUGUUUAGGUUGUGAGAUAUUAAAGAAAAUGUAAGGUAUUUUAAGGUUCCAGGCGACCAUGUUCCCUUUCGCCCGCCACUCAGUCAUCUUGAAAUGUUUGGAGAAAAGUAGGAAUUGCAAGAAAACGAGAAAAUAUAGAAAGAAAAGGAAAGUAGGGGUGGAAAGUAGAAAGAUUAAGCUAUUUUCUGGUAUAAGGGACGUUGGGAAAAGAGGAGAGGAAAGUAGAGGAAAAUGAAGGUGAAUUGGAGGGGAAAAAAUCUGACCACACCAAGAAAUGUAUUGAUACUGAAAAGUUUGAAGAAAAGUAUAAUUUGUGAGAAAACUAUAAUAUACAAAAACAAAAGAAAACUCUGGAUAGAAAGAAGAAAGAUCAAGCUAUUUUUUGGUAUAUGGGAAGAUAGGAAAAGAUGAGAGGAAAGUACAGGAGAAUGAAGGUGAAUUGAAGAGGAAAAUCUGACACCAAGAAAUUCUACUAGGUCAGUUUGACAAGUUUGAAUACAAGUGUAAUUUAUGAGAAAAUGAGAAAAGAUAGAAGGAAAAAGAAAGUAGGAAUGGAAAGUAAAAAGAUUAAGCUAGUUUCUGGUACAAGGGAAGUUAGGAAAAGAUUAGCAAAAAUUGAAGAAAAACGGAGUUGAAGAGGUGGUAAGCUUUCUGAUACCAAGAAAUUUUGCACAGGUCAUCUUGAAAUGUUUGAAGAGAAGUAAGAUUUGCAAGAAAACGAUAAGAGAUAGAAAGAAAAGAAAAGUAGGGAUAGAAAGUAGAAAGAUUAAAUUAUUUUUUAGUAUAAGGCAUGAUAAGAAAAGAGAAGAGGAAGGUAGAGAAAAUAAAGGUGAAUUUGAGGAAACAAAUCUGACCACACCAAUAAAAUUCUAUUGGCAAUUUUGAAAAGUUUAAAGAAAAGUAUAAUUUGAGAAAACUAUAUUAGAUAGAAACAAAAGCAAACUAUGGAUAGAAAGUAAAAAGAUUAAGCUUUUUUUUGGUAUAUGAGAAGAUAGGAAAAGAUGACAGGAAAGUGAAGGAAAAUUAAGGCAAAUUGGAGGGGUAAAUCUGACCAUACCAAGAAAUUCCACUUGGUCAGUUUUAAAAGUUUUAAGAAAAGUAUAAUUUCUGAGAAAACGAAUAACAAUAGAAAUAAAUGCAAAGUAGAGGUAGAAAGUAGAAAGAUUAAGCUAUUUUCUGAUAUAAGGGAAGUUAGGAAAAGAUAAGCAGAAAUUGAAGAAAAACGGAGUUGAAAUGGUGGUAACAUUCUGAUACCAAGAAAUUUUGCACAGGUCAUCUUGAAAUGUUUGAAGAGAAGUAGGAAUUGCAAGAAAACGAGAAAAGAUAGAAAGAAAAGGAAAGUAGGGAUAGAAAUUAGAAAUAUUAAGCUAUUUUGGGGUAUAAGGGAAGUUAGAAAAAGAGGAGAGGAAAGUAGAGGAAAAUAAAGGUAAAUUUGAGGAAAAAAAUCUGACCACACCAAUAAAUGUAUUGGUGAAUCUGAAAAAUUUGAAGAAAAGUAUAAUUUGUGAAAAAACUCUAACAGAUAGAAACAAAAGCAAACUGUGGAUAUAAACUAGAAAGAUUAAGCUAUUUUUUUGUAUAAGGCAAGUUAGGAAAAGAGGAGAGGAAAGUAAAGAAAAACGAAAGGAAAUUGGAGGAAAAAAUCUGCCCACACUAAGAAAUCUUUAUUGGUGAUUCUGAAAAGUUUGAAGAAAAGUAUAAUUUGUGAGAAAACUAUAAUAGAUAGAAACAAAAGCAAACUGUGGAUAGAAAAUAGAAAGAUUAAGCUAUUUUCUGGUAUAAGGCAAGUUAGGAAAAGAGGAGAGGAAAGUAAAGAAAAACGAAAGGAAAUUGGAGGAAAAAAUCUGACUACACCAAGAAAUCUCUAGUGGUGAUUCGGAAAAGUUUGAAGAAAAGUAUAAUUUGUGAGAAAACUAUAAUAGGUAGAAACUAAAACAAAGUAUGGAUAGAAAGUAGAAAGAUUAAGCUAUUUUUUGGUAUAAGGAAAAAUAGGAAAAGAGGAGCAGAAAGUGGAGAAAAUUGCAGGUAAAGUGGAAGGAAAAAAAAUCCGACACCACUCCAUUUGAAUUUCUCUCCCAUUUUUAUUUGCCUCAUAUGAAACAAGGCCUAGGUUUCUACCCUAGGCCUAAAUACAAAAGGGUUUAUCAUAGAACUAUACACAAGUGACUCUUUGAUGCAGUAAUAGUAGUAAUAAUAAUGAUAAUAAUGAUAAUAAUAAGAAUGGCUGGCUUGACGAGACGCACACACACACACACACACACACACACACACACACACACACAUACGUACAUAGCCCUACAGAUUUUUUUUUUUUAUGUGGGGGAAAAAAAAAUUGUGUGCGUGUGUGUAAGUUGGCUAUACUUACACACACACACACACACACACACACACACACACACACACACACACACACACACACACAUACAUACAUACAAUUUCUCUCUCUCAACAAUAACAAUAAUAAUAAUAAUAAUAACAAUAAUAAUAUUUACUUUUUA